rnacentral:rRNA from 1 species
AUGAACGCUAGCGACAGGCCUAACACAUGCAAGUCGAGGGGCAUCAGGUAUCAGCUUGCUGAUACGCUGGCGACCGGCGCACGGGUGAGUAACGCGUAUGGAAUCUGUCUGUAACAGGGGGAUAACCCGGAGAAAUUCGGACUAAUACCCCAUGCCGCCGGUUUUUUGCAUGAAAGGCCGGCGAAAGGGUAACCGGUUACAGGUGAUCAUGCGUUCCAUUAGCUGGUUGGCGGGGUAACGACCCACCAAGGCGACGAUGGAUAGGGGUUCUGAGAGGAAGGUCCCCCACACUGGUACUGAGACACGGACCAGACUCCUACGGGAGGCAGCAGUGAGGAAUAUUGGUCAAUGGGCGGAAGCCUGAACCAGCCAAGUCGCGUGAAGGAAGACUGCCCUACGGGUUGUAAACUUCUUUUGUAUGGGAGUAAAAGAGUCCACGUGUGGGCUAUUGCAAGUACCAUACGAAUAAGCAUCGGCUAACUCCGUGCCAGCAGCCGCGGUAAUACGGAGGAUGCGAGCGUUAUCCGGAUUUAUUGGGUUUAAAGGGUGCGUAGGCGGCCCUAUAAGUCAGCGGUGAAAUGUUCCGGCUCAACCGGGAAACUGCCGUUGAAACUGUAGGGCUAGAGUCCACAAGAGGUAUGCGGAAUGCGUGGUGUAGCGGUGAAAUGCAUAGAUAUCACGCAGAACCCCGAUUGCGAAGGCAGCAUACUGGGGUGAAACAGACGCUGAAGCACGAAAGCGUGGGUAUCGAACAGGAUUAGAUACCCUGGUAGUCCACGCCGUAAACGAUGAAUACUAACUGUUUGCGAUAUACAGUAAGCGGUACAGCGAAAGCGUUAAGUAUUCCACCUGGGGAGUACGCCGGCAACGGUGAAACUCAAAGGAAUUGACGGGGGCCCGCACAAGCAGUGGAGUAUGUGGUUUAAUUCGACGCAACGCGAAGAACCUUACCAAGUCUUGACAUCCCUUGACGAACAUAGAAAUAUGUUUUCUCUUCGGAGCAAGGAGACAGGUGGUGCAUGGUUGUCGUCAGCUCGUGUCGUGAGAUGUUGGGUUAAGUCCCGCAACGAGCGCAACCCUUACCGUUAGUUGCUAGCAUGUAAUGAUGAGCACUCUAACGGGACUGCCACCGUAAGGUGAGAGGAAGGCGGGGAUGACGUCAAAUCAGCACGGCCCUUACGUCCGGGGCGACACACGUGUUACAAUGGCAGGGACAGCGAGUAGCCAGGCAGCAAUGCCGCGCCAAUCUCGAAACCCUGUCCCAGUUCGGAUCGGAGUCUGCAACUCGACUCCGUGAAGCUGGAUUCGCUAGUAAUCGCGCAUCAGCCAUGGCGCGGUGAAUACGUUCCCGGGCCUUGUACACACCGCCCGUCAAGCCAUGGGAGCCGGGAGUACCUGAAGUAUGCAACCGCGAGGAGCGUCCUAGGGUAAUACUGGUGACUGGGGCU